rnacentral:rRNA from 1 species
UUAUGAAUAAGGAUCGGCUAACUCCGUGCCAGCAGCCGCGGUAAUACGGAGGAUCCGAGCGUUAUCCGGAUUUAUUGGGUUUAAAGGGUGCGUAGGCGGCCUUUUAAGUCAGCGGUGAAAGUCUGUGGCUCAACCAUAGAAUUGCCGUUGAAACUGGGGGGCUUGAGUAUGUUUGAGGCAGGCGGAAUGCGUGGUGUAGCGGUGAAAUGCUUAGAUAUCACGCAGAACCCCGAUUGCGAAGGCAGCCUGCCAAGCCAUGACUGACGCUGAUGCACGAAAGCGUGGGGAUCAAACAGGAUUAGAUACCCUGGUAGUCCACGCAGUAAACGAUGAUCACUAGCUGUUUGCGAUACAGUGUAAGCGGCACAGCGAAAGCGUUAAGUGAUCCACCUGGGGAGUACGCCGGCAACGGUGAAACUCAAAGGAAUUGACGGGGGCCCGCACAAGCGGAGGAACAUGUGGUUUAAUUCGAUGAUACGCGAGGAACCUUACCCGGGCUUAAAUUGCAGAUGAAUUACGGUGAAAGCCGUAAGCCGCAAGGCAUCUGUGAAGGUGCUGCAUGGUUGUCGUCAGCUCGUGCCGUGAGGUGUCGGCUUAAGUGCCAUAACGAGCGCAACCCUUGCCACUAGUUACUAACAGGUGAUGCUGAGGACUCUGGUGGGACUGCCAGCGUAAGCUGCGAGGAAGGCGGGGAUGACGUCAAAUCAGCACGGCCCUUACAUCCGGGGCGACACACGUGUUACAAUGGCGUGGACAAAGGGAAGCCACCUGGCGACAGGGAGCGAAUCCCCAAACCACGUCUCAGUUCGGAUCGGAGUCUGCAACCCGACUCCGUGAAGCUGGAUUCGCUAGUAAUCGCGCAUCAGCCAUGGCGCGGUGAAUACGUUCCCGGGCCUUGUACACACCGCCCGUCAAGCCAUGGGAG